GCCCCUCGGCCCGCCGUGGCGCAGCCGGGGGCUGAGGGGACGCACAAAAUGGCGGCGGCCCCUCAGGACCGGCCUCCCGCGGCCCCCGGGGGGCUGAGGGGCGCCGUGUGGCGGGCUCGCCGCCUUCCUGCACCCCGUGCCGCCGUCGCAGCGGGGUGUUGCGGGCGGGUGCGGGCGCUGGGGCGGGCGCUGCCCUGCCUCUGGGCGCCUGCUGGCCAUCGGGGGUGUAUCCCGCCCCAGCCGGCCGGGAGCUGGUGGUUGGGUUGCCCUGCAAGGCAAAAGGCAGGCGGAUAAACGGGCCCUUGUGAAGGGAGGUGUGAGGUUUAUCUGCACGGCAGCCGGAGCUCCUGGCGCGCCAGCGGGCCGCGUGUUGAUGGAAGCGCGGUGGUACAAGAGAUUUACUCAAUCUCGGCUCUUCACACGUGUGCUGAGUCAGGGAAAGGCAGCGUGUGCUCGCGGGUUCUUCCUGUGUUCCCUCUCUGUCCAGCUGGGUUGCAGAGAAAGCUCAAAACCUUUAAUUACAUCCACAAACCAAGCACAUUACGUUGAGACAAAGCUAUCUGGCAGUUUGGGAAUAGUGGGUUUGGCUCUAAAACUCGCCCUUGGAGGAAGCAGUGUUCCCUCUGGUCGGCUGGGGAGCUUGGUGUUCAUCACUGUAUCCUUGGAGAGCUCAGAACGCAGACGUGUCUCCUGACAUCUCAUACUUGUGGUUUUCUGGGGUAAUAACUACAGCUUCCCCUUUCUGGCUGGUUUUUUUGACUCCGAAGGAGGUAGUAAUUGAUAGGAAUUGGUCAAAAUAACCAAAACAAUAGCAAGAAGAGUUCCUUUCACUCGGGUAUUAACAGACUCAGGUUGAUGGUGCUUACCUGGGGACCUCACAGGUUUGGAGGUUUGACCUUUUUAUGCAACUCAGACACAUUCUGCUGUAGUAUUUUUCCUCAGUUACAGUUACUGUAAUCAUGUCAUGCAGGCUGGGCUUUUUGUUUUAAUUAUUAUUAUUUUUUUUUUCCAUAGGAUUAUUUAAAAAGUAUUUAAGUAACAUUGAAAUGCAUUGUAUUUUGGUGUUUUAAAUAAUGACCUGUGCUGGUUUCUAGCCCAGAUCUGCUGUUGAAAUGUGCAUUCAGUUCUGGGUUUUGCUCUGGUGUGUGAUCACUCAGUAUUUAGAAUAUUAAAUUUAAACUGUGUUGUGAGGUCUUCAAGAGAGUGGAUGUACAAGUGAGGUAAUUUUUUUUUUCCCUGUUGGGAAAGCACUCUGCAAGGACAAGAAGUAUCUUUAAUUGCAUUUUUCUUUUUCUUGAUUUAACAAAAAACCCCAACAAACAAAAACCAAACAACUAGCAGAAGAAUCACCCUGGCGUGGAGGAUGCAAGGGCUGAUACCUUCUCCAGCUUCCACAACAACUGAGGAAACUGAGUGAUGUUUAUCCGAGGGUGGGGUUCCAGGCAGUUAAAAAGUUGCUGCUUCCUGCUGGCUUCCUUGUUCUUCCAUUUCCCCAGGAUCUUGCAGUUUGGUUUUGGGGCUGAGCUCAGUGGAACCUCAACUGUGCUCGUGUUGGUCCUUACCAAACAAGGAGCUCUUCUUCUCUCUGUGAAAUGGGAAGAACACUGAAACAUUUCUUUUUCAUCUGUCACAUUUAAAGGUUGUACCUGCAAAGUGAAAAGAGGCCAGAAAUCCCUGCAGCUGAUCAUCCGUGGAGGUGCAGAAAUGCCCUGGUUUUCCUCUGAAGAAUUACUUGCUUAAAUACUUCUGCCAAUUGUUUUUUUCUUUGCUAUUUGUCUGUAUAUAAACUUGAUGCACUGAACCCCAUGAA